UAGGGAAUUUUCCACAAUGGGCGAAAGCCUGAUGGAGCAACACCGCGUGCAGGAUGAAGGCCUUCGGGUUGUAAACUGCUUUUAUAUGUGACGAUUGUGACGGUAGCAUAUGAAUAAGGACCUGCUAACUACGUGCCAGCAGCCGCGGUCAUACGUGGGGUCCAAGCGUUAUCCGGAAUUACUGGGCGUAAAGAGUUGCGUAGGUGGCAAAGUAAGUUGGUAGUGAAAGCCUGAGGCUCAACCUCUUCAACAUUAUCAAAACUACUUAGCUAGAGGAGAAGAGAGGUCACUGGAAUUACUAGUGUAGGAGUGAAAUCCGUAGAUAUUAGUAGGAACACCGAUGGCGUAGGCAGGUGACUGGCUUCUUCCUGACACUAAGGCACGAAAGCGUGGGGAGCGAACUGGAUUAGAUACCCCUGUAGUCC
rnacentral:rRNA from 1 species